GUUUGUGGUCAUGACGUCGUCGUUUCGAUCGUCCUGUCAUGGGCCUUGGUGCGGUUAGCAGGGACAUGCUUCCAUGGGUGCAGGGGUUCCCAAGCUAAUCUAUUGUUAAUUAAUUUUUCUUUAUCCAUCUUUUUUAGUAUCUCUAUGGAUUCAGCAACUAUAGGUUGUUCAUAACUGUGCAGUGGCCUAAUUUAGCUUAACAUUUUCCCAUUCCACAUCAAUGUUUUUACUGUACGCCUCUAUGGGGAGCGCUGUGUUAAGGUUUCCAUGGCGUAUAUCUCUUCUAUGUUCUUCUACUCUCCUAUCGAUUCUUCUGGACGUCACUCCAUUAUAUGCAGACAUUUCAUUUGUGUCAGUGUUUGUUAUAGGUAUUUUAUAUAUCCCUCUUCUUUCAGAAUGUUCUAUGGUGUCUUUUUCAUUUCGCAAAACAUUAUAAAUUGUUGGGUUCCUUUUGAAAUGUUGUUUUCUUACUUUUCCGAGGGAAUUUUCUAACCUGCCUUAGGUGCUUCAUGUGAUAUGGAACCACAUGAAGCACUUAAGGCAGUGUGUAUUCAGCAUUAGCUUCUCUAUCUUUUGUUGACUCUUUCCUAACCAUACUCUCCUUAACUUGCCUGAAGACCUGGUUUAAAAAGGGGUAGCUAUAUCCGUG
rnacentral:lncRNA from 1 species